AGAAUCAACGCUGGCGGCGUGCCUAACACAUGCAAGUCGAACGAGAAAGGGAUUUCGGUCCUGAGUAUAGUGGCGCACGGGUGAGUAACACGUGAAUAAUCUACCUCCGAGUGGGGAAUAACUGAGAGAAAUCUUAGCUAAUACCGCAUAACACUUACGAGUCAAAGCAGUAAUGCGCUUGGAGAGGAGUUCGCGGCAGAUUAGUUAGUUGGCGGGGUAAUGGCCCACCAAGACGAUGAUCUGUA
rnacentral:rRNA from 1 species